GACGAACGCUGGCGGCGUGCUUAACACAUGCAAGUCGAGCGAUGAAGUUUUUUCGGAAAUGGAUUAGCGGCGAACGGGUGAGGAACACGUGAAGAAUCUGCCCUCCACUUUGGGAUAACACAGGGAAACCUGUGCUAAUACCGAAUAUUGAAACAUAAGUGGCAUCACUGAGUUUUGAAAGAAUUUCGGUGGAGGAUGACUUCGCGGCCUAUCAGCUAGUUGGUGAGGUAAUGGCUCACCAAGGCAACGACGGGUAGCCGGCCGGAGAGGGCGACCGGCCACACUGGGACGGAGACACGGCCAAGACUCCUACGGGAGGCAGCAGUGGGGAAUAUUGGGCAAUGGAGGAAACUCUGACCAGCGACGCCGCGUGCGGGAUGAAGGCCUUCGGGUUGUAAACCGCUUUCAGUAGGGAAGAAGCGAAAGUGACGGUACCUACGAAAGAAGCACCGGCUAACUAUGUGCCAGCCGCCGCCGUAA
rnacentral:rRNA from 1 species